AUGCUGUUGUAAUAAACAAUUGGAAGAAUGAUGUUAAGUUGUAGAAAAUAAUUCCAAACUGUAGAAUGCAUAGUGUAAGGGAGUGUUUUAUUGCUCUGUAUAUCAGAAUAUAUUGAUUACCACAGACUAGCCAGACUGCGCAUAUGCUCUACCUGGAUAGGCUAAGCAGGCCUAAAGUGGCCCAGAUCGCCAUACUAUACAUGAAAAUUGUUAAUUUUUAUCGGCAUACGAGAUCUGCUAUGACGUCACAUCCUGUUAUAUAAGUGUGUCUAGAAAAAUAUAACCAAACCAAACUGUCAUUAUUCAAGAAACCAUCAACAGGAUUAGAUCUGAAUUAAGUUAGUAAUAGAAAAUCCAGUAGACCCAGUAGAUCCACCGGUUGGUCAGGAUGGGCUAGUGGAUGAGGAUCCAAGGGAGCUAGCAGCUCGGCAAGCUGCAGCUGAAGCAG